AUUGAACGCUGGCGGCAGGCUUAACACAUGCAAGUCGAGCGGGGUGAUGGUGCUUGCACUAUCACUUAGCGGCGGACGGGUGAGUAAUGCUUAGGAAUCUGCCUAUUAGUGGGGGACAACAUCUCGAAAGGGAUGCUAAUACCGCAUACGUCCUACGGGAGAAAGCAGGGGAUCACUUGUGACCUUGCGCUAAUAGAUGAGCCUAAGUCGGAUUAGCUAGUUGGUGGGGUAAAGGCCUACCAAGGCGACGAUCUGUAGCGGGUCUGAGAGGAGGAUCCGCCACACUGGGACUGGGACACGGCCCAGACUCCUACGGGAGGCAGCAGUGGGGAAUAUUGGACAAUGGGGGGAACCCUGAUCCAGCCAUGCCGCGUGUGUGAAGAAGGCCUUAUGGUUGUAAAGCACUUUAAGCGAGGAGGAGGCUCUUUUGGUUAAUACCCAAGAUGAGUGGACGUUACUCGCAGAAUAAGCACCGGCUAACUACGUGCCAGCCGCCGCAGUAA
rnacentral:rRNA from 1 species